GGAGGAAGCAGGGGAUCGCAGGACCUUGCGCUUUUGGAGCGGCCGAUGUCUGAUUAGCUUGUUGGUAAGGUAAAAGCUUACCAAGGCUUCGAUCAGUAGCUGGUCUGAGAGGACGACCAGCCACACUGGGACUGAGACACGGCCCAGACUCCUACGGGAGGCAGCAGUGGGGAAUUUUGGACAAUGGGGGCAACCCUGAUCCAGCCAUGCCGCGUGAGUGAAGAAGGCCUUCGGGUUGUAAAGCUCUUUCAGCCGGAACGAAACGGUUACGGUUAAUACCCGUGACUACUGACGGUACCGGAAGAAGAAGCACCGGCUAACUACGUGCCAGCAGCCGCGGUAAUACGUAGGGUGCGAGCGUUAAUCGGAAUUACUGGGCGUAAAGCGUGCGCAGGUGGUUUUGUAAGUCAGAUGUGAAAUCCCCGGGCUCAACCUGGGAACUGCGUUUGAAACUACAAAGCUAG
rnacentral:rRNA from 1 species